rnacentral:rRNA from 1 species
UACAGAGGUCCCAAGCGUUGUUCGGAUUCACUGGGCGUAAAGGGUGCGUAGGUGGUGAGGUAAGUCGGAUGUGAAAUCUCCGAGCUCAACUCGGAAACUGCAUUGGAAACUACCUUGCUCGAGGGUUGGAGGGGGGACUGGAAUGCUUGGUGUAGCAGUGAAAUGCGUAGAUAUCAAGCGGAACACCAGUGGCGAAGGCGAGUCCCUGGACAACUCCUGACACUGAUGCACGAAAGCUAGGGGAGCAAACGGG